UACGGGGGGGGCAAGCGUUGUUCGGAAUUACUGGGCGUAAAGGGUUCGUAGGUGGCCAUCUAAGUCAGACGUGAAAUCCCUCGGCUUAACCGGGGAACUGCGUCUGAUACUGGAUGGCUUGAGUUCGGGAGAGGGAUGCGGAAUUCCAGGUGUAGCGGUGAAAUGCGUAGAUAUCUGGAGGAACACCGGUGGCGAAGGCGGCAUCCUGGACCGACACUGACACUGAGGAGCGAAAGCCAGGGGAGCAAACGGG
rnacentral:rRNA from 1 species